UCUCAGCUGAUCGGCGGGUGGGCGGGGCUUCCACGGAGGCCUCGUGUAGGCCUCUGUGAAGCCUGAACUCCAGUAGGGCCCAAGCCAGCCAGGAAGGAGGAGGCAGCCAGAGUGGCCACCACUGUUCUCUGCAGCAGAAGACCCCCUGCUGCCAGUAUUUAACCUUAGGACUCCGCUACAUGCUAUAGAGUGCACAGAACACUGCCAUUGUUCACUCUCAGCAGAAUGGAGAGGAUGAAGGUUACAGAAAGAGAACAGGAACAGAUAAUAAAGAGCUGUGAGAGUGUUAAAAAUGGUCAAGAAGAAAAUAUAAACCAUAUCUUAUUAAAUUCUGAAAUAUACAUCUAA